AUGGACGGAGAUCGACGGACGCCGGCGGCCGCGGCCGCGGCCGCAUCGGCGGCAUCGGUCCUUGACGACGACAACCUCCUCCGCGAAAUACUCCUCUGCGUCGCCUUCCCCACCAGCCUCGUCAACGCCGCCCUCGUCUGCAAGCGGUGGCUCCUCCUCGCCUCCGCCCCGGCCUUCCUCCGCCGCUUCCGCGAGCGCAACCCGCCCCGCCUCCUCGGCGUCUGCGUCGGCUACCCGGGCAGGUAUCGCUUUGUGCCCCUCCCGCGGCAGCCCCCGGAGCUCGCCGCGCCCAUACGCCGCGCGACCUCCUCCUGCGACGCCGCCUUCGCCCGCAGAUGCCCGCGAAUCAAGCACUGCCGGAGCGGCCGCCUCAUCAUCGAGGUAUUCCACGCCGGCAGAUUUGAUCACCCCCUCGUGGUGCCGGUUCUCGCCGGGGAGUCUUCAACCGUCCUCCCACUAACCCUGCUGUCCCACGCCCACCGUAACUACUGGGAGAGGCGCACUCAAUUCACUGAGCUGUUCCUACCCGAGGAUGGGGGCCGCGACGGCAUCACCUUGGUGAAUCUGUGGAAGGACCGGCAAAAAGUGUAUGCGGAGGUGUGCAUCCUGAGAUCUGGCCGAUGGUGCGUCCCUGACAUGGAAUCAGAGAUAGAGCCCCCAAAUGGCACAGUCUUCCUUGAAAUGCUACCACCCGUCCAUGGCAAAGUCUUCAUGGUGACCAACUCUGGGUACACCGUGGGUCUAGAUUUGGCCACCAGGAGUCUUUUCACCCUUGAGCUACCAGCUGGAGUGCGGAGGAACUAUAUGCUCUCAUGCGCCGAGGAUGCAGGGAUCUAUCUUGUCAGUGCAGACGGGUUUCAGCUCAGUGUGUGGCUCCAUCGGAUGUCGGGCGAUGAUAAUGAUGCAGGCUGGCUGCUGCUGGACACAUUUUGUGUCCAUGAGGGUCAUGCAUGCACACCUCGUGCAGAGGACAGUUGGGUUCCUCCUCAUGAUGUUUGUCUUGAUGUUGUUGCAGUCGGGGACAAUGCCGACUUUGUCUUCUUGGAUCAUCCAGCAAGUGGCACUCUGUUUUAUGUUCAUCUGAGGAGCAGGGUGGUUGAGAAGGUCUACCGGAGGGGGGCAGAUGAAUGUGGAUAUAAACGUGCGGCUGCUGGCCACGUACGUGUAUCCCCUGUUAUGAUGAUCUGGCCGCCUAUCUUCCCAGCGCAGAACGUGGGACAUGAGGAAUGA
rnacentral:rRNA from 1 species